rnacentral:rRNA from 1 species
GUAGUUUACUACAGAAAAUGACUGAGCGGCGAACGGGUGAGUAACGCGUGAGCAACCUACCUUAGUUACUGGGAUAGCCCGAGGAAACUCGGAUUAAUACCGGAUAUUCUUAUUUAAUCACAUGAUUUUUUAAGGAAAGGUCAGCCGAACUAAGAUGGGCUCGCGUUCUAUCAGCUAGUUGGUAGGGUAACGGCCUACCAAGGCUACGACGGAUAGCUGGUCUGAGAGGACGAUCAGCCACACUGGGACUGAGACACGGCCCAGACUCCUACGGGAGGCUGCAGCAGGGAAUAUUGUGCAAUGAACGAAAGUUUGACACAGCGACACCGCGUGUGGGAUGACGGAUCUAGGUUUGUAAACCACUUUCAGGAGGGAAGAAAAUGACGGUACCUCCACAAGAAGCCCCGGCCAACUACGUGCCAGCAGCCGCGGUAAUACGUAGGGGGCGAGCGUUGUCCGGAUUUAUUGGGCGUAAAGAGCUCGUAGGCGGUUCAACAAGUCGGUCGUGAAAGUUCAGGGCUCAACCCUGAAAUGUCGAUCGAUACUGUUGUGACUAGGAUACGGCAGAGGUGAGUGGAAUUCCGAGUGUAGCGGUGAAAUGCGUAGAUAUUCGGAGGAACACCAAUUGCGAAGGCAGCUCACUGGGCCGCUAUCGACGCUGAGGAGCGAAAGCUAGGGGAGCAAACAGGAUUAGAUACCCUGGUAGUCCUAGCUGUAAACGAUGGAUACUAGACGUAGGAAUUGGAUUAACGAUUUCUGUGUCGUAGCUAACGCGUUAA